CCGCACGGGUGAGUAACACGUAUCCAACCUGCCGUCUACUCUUGGACAGCCUUCUGAAAGGAAAGAUUAAUACAAGAUGGCAUCAUGAGUCCGCAUGUUCACAUGAUUAAAGGUAUUCCGGUAGACGAUGGGGAUGCGUUCCAUUAGAUAGUAGGCGGGGUAACGGCCCACCUAGUCUUCGAUGGAUAGGGGUUCUGAGAGGAAGGUCCCCCACAUUGGAACUGAGACACGGUCCAA
rnacentral:rRNA from 1 species